rnacentral:rRNA from 1 species
GACGAACGCUGGCGGCGUGCUUAACACAUGCAAGUCGAGCGGUAAGGCCCGGUUUUGCUGGGUACACGAGCGGCGAACGGGUGAGUAACACGUGGGUGACCUGCCCUCAGCUCUGGGAUAAGCCUGGGAAACCGGGUCUAAUACUGGAUAUGACUCCAUGACGCAUGUUGUGGGGUGGAAAGCCUUGUGCGGCUGAGGAUGGGCCCGCGGCCUAUCAGCUUGUUGGUGGGGNGAUGGCCUACCAAGGCGACGACGGGUAGCCGGCCUGAGAGGGCGACCGGCCACACUGGGACUGAGACACGGCCCAGACUCCUACGGGAAGCAGCAGUGGGGAAUCUUGCGCAAUGGGCGAAAGCCUGACGCAGCGACGCCGCGUGAGGGAUGACGGCCUGG